rnacentral:rRNA from 1 species
CGGACGGGUGAGUAAUGUCUGGGAAACUGCCUGAUGGAGGGGGAUAACUACUGGAAACGGUAGCUAAUACCGCAUAACGUCGCAAGACCAAAGAGGGGGACCUUCGGGCCUCUUGCCAUCGGAUGUGCCCAGAUGGGAUUAGCUAGUAGGUGGGGUAACGGCUCACCUAAGCGACGAUCCCUAGCUGGUCUGAGAGGAUGACCAGCCACACUGGAACUGAGACACGGUCCAG